rnacentral:rRNA from 1 species
UACGGAGGAUGCGAGCGUUAUCCGGAUUUAUUGGGUUUAAAGGGUGCGCAGGCGGCACGGCAAGCCGGCGGUCAAAUCGCGGGGCUCAACCCCGCCCAGCCGUCGGAACUGCCGGGCUAGAGUGGGCGAGAAGUGCGCGGAAUGCGUGGUGUAGCGGUGAAAUGCAUAGAUAUCACGCAGAACUCCAAUCGCGAAGGCAGCGCACCGGCGCCCUACUGACGCUCAGGCACGAAAGCGUGGGUAUCGAACAGG